rnacentral:lncRNA from 1 species
GGGCGUCUCUCCUUGCUCAUGUGAGGUGUCACACCAGCACCUCUCCUUCCUCGUUUAGUUGGGUUGCAAAGGUAAUUUGAUCGGAGUUCAUCCUACUUUUCUGUGUUAUCUAACGUGCAUGUGAAGUAGAGAAUCUGCACUUUCAGACCUCUACGAAGGUUGAUUCCAGAUUUUUAGAGAUUUGAUCUUCAAUUCCGCUACUAUCU